rnacentral:rRNA from 1 species
GGGUUUUUGAUGGAGGGUUUGAUCCUGGCUCAGGACGAACGCUGGCGGCGUGCUUAACACAUGCAAGUCGAACGGUAAGGCUCCAGCUUGCUGGGGUACACGAGUGGCGAACGGGUGAGUAACACGUGGGUGACCUGCCCUGCACUUCGGGAUAAGCCUGGGAAACUGGGUCUAAUACCGGAUAGGACCGCACCGUGAGGGUGUGGUGGAAAGUUUUUUCGGUGUGGGAUGGGCCCGCGGCCUAUCAGCUUGUUGGUGGGGUAAUGGCCUACCAAGGCGGCGACGGGUAGCCGGCCUGAGAGGGUGGACGGCCACAUUGGGACUGAGACACGGCCCAGACUCCUACGGGAGGCAGCAGUGGGGAAUAUUGCACAAUGGGCGGAAGCCUGAUGCAGCGACGCCGCGUGGGGGAUGACGGCCUUCGGGUUGUAAACUCCUUUCACCAUCGACGAAGGGUUUCUGACGGUAGAUGGAGAAGAAGCACCGGCUAACUACGUGCCAGCAGCCGCGGUAAUACGUAGGGUGCGAGCGUUGUCCGGAAUUACUGGGCGUAAAGAGCUCGUAGGUGGUUUGUCGCGUCGUCUGUGAAAUUCCGGGGCUUAACUCCGGGCGUGCAGGCGAUACGGGCAUAACUUGAGUACUGUAGGGGAGACUGGAAUUCCUGGUGUAGCGGUGAAAUGCGCAGAUAUCAGGAGGAACACCGGUGGCGAAGGCGGGUCUCUGGGCAGUAACUGACGCUGAGGAGCGAAAGCAUGGGGAGCGAACAGGAUUAGAUACCCUGGUAGUCCAUGCCGUAAACGGUGGGCGCUAGGUGUGGGUUUCCUUCCACGGGAUCCGUGCCGUAGCUAACGCAUUAAGCGCCCCGCCUGGGGAGUACGGCCGCAAGGCUAAAACUCAAAGGAAUUGACGGGGGCCCGCACAAGCGGCGGAGCAUGUGGAUUAAUUCGAUGCAACGCGAAGAACCUUACCUGGGCUUGACAUAUACAGGAUCGCGCCAGAGAUGGUGUUUCCCUUGUGGCUUGUAUACAGGUGGUGCAUGGUUGUCGUCAGCUCGUGUCGUG